GAUGAACGCUAGCGGGAGGCCUAACACAUGCAAGCCGAGCGGUAUAGAAUCUUCGGAUUUUAGAGAGCGGCGUACGGUGCGGAACACGUGUGCAACCUACCUUUAUCUGGAGGAUAGCCUUUCGAAAGGAAGAUUAAUACUCCAUAAUAUAUUGAUUGGCAUCAAUUAAUAUUGAAAGCUCUGGCGGAUAGAGAUGGGCACGCGCAAGAUUAGUUAGUUGGUGAGGUAACGGCUCACCAAGACGAUGAUCUUUAGGGGCCUGAGAGGGUGAUCCCCACACUGGUACUGAGACACGGACCAGACUCCUACGGGAGCAGCAGUGAGGAAUAUUGGACAAUGGGUGCAAGCCUGAUCCAGCCAUCCCGCGUGAAGGACGACUGCCCUAUGGGUUGUAAACUUCUUUUGUAUAGGGAUAAACCUCUCCUCGUGAGGAGAGCUGAAGGUACUAUACGAAUAAGCACCGGCUAACUCCGUGCC
rnacentral:rRNA from 1 species